GCCUUCGUGGUGUAACGGUAGCACACUCGGUGAGUAUUCGAGAGGCCCAGGUUCGAAUCCCUGCCUUGGGCA
rnacentral:tRNA from 1 species